rnacentral:tRNA from 2 species
GCGGUUAUGGCGGAAUUGGCAGACGCGCCAGAUUUAGGUUCUGGUGGGAGACCGUGCAGGUUCAAGUCCUGUUAGCCGCA